rnacentral:tRNA from 1 species
GGGCCCGUCGUAUACCGGCAGUACGGAACUAUGGCAUAGUUCAAAAAGGGGUUCGAUUCCCCUCGGGUCCA